CUCAGCCGGUUGGGCUCGUUGAUGGUGAUCCAGAGCUUCACCAGGUCCCCCAGCUCCCGGAAGCACAGCCCUGCGUAGUCGCGGAAGGCCUUGGCCGUGGAUGGGUCCAGCCACCCCCCGCUGUGCAGCAGCGGCGCGGGCAGGCCCAGGUGAAAAGCAAGCAAAUGUGGGCAAUGAAUGCAGACCUGAGAGAGCUUGAAGACACCAAAAGUGUUCCAUGAAUCCUGUCUGGGUGGGGCAGUGAUAUGGUGCUGUUCAAACCAAGGUGGAAGGAGGAAGCACACGAAAGAAGAGCUGCUGCCGGUUAGCCCCAGCCCUUGCUCUCAGACUCAGUCACAUAAGCUCCGACAGAACAGCGAGAAGAACCCAGCAAUGAAAGCCCUCAGAUGCUGCAAGAUCCUAGCUUUUAUCAGCCUCGGGAUUCCUCCAAAACAUUGUCAAGUAACAUCACUAGGUCACCAAGGGCUUCUUCAAUUCUGUGAGUCACGCUUUACUGGCUAAUAAGUUGGAAGUUUCUGAUCUAUUCUCAGCAUUCCUACUCAGCAUCAGAGUUGUUGUCAAUCAUACCUUUUUUCUUUCAUAGAUUUUUUUUACAUAUUGUGUUCCCUGUAAGAAUUUAUAAAUGUAACUAAAUGACUUAUUUUAUGCCAUAAACGAAUAUAAAG